rnacentral:rRNA from 1 species
GUGAGGAAUAUUGGUCAAUGGACGAGAGUCUGAACCAGCCAAGUCGCGUGAAGGAAGAAGGUUCUAUGGAUUGUAAACUUCUUUUGUAAGGGAAUAAAAAAGAGUACGUGUACUCUAUUGUAUGUACUUUACGAAUAAGGAUCGGCUAACUCCGUGCCAGCAGCCGCGGUAAUACGGAGGAUCCGAGCGUUAUCCGGAUUUAUUGGGUUUAAAGGGUGCGUAGGCGGACUUAUAAGUCAGCGGUGAAAGUUUGCAGCUUAACUGUAAAAUUGCCGUUGAAACUGUUAGUCUUGAGUGUAAAUGAGGUAGGCGGAAUGUGUUGUGUAGCGGUGAAAUGCUUAGAUAUAACACAGAACACCAAUUGCGAAGGCAGCUUACUGGGAUACAACUGACGCUGAGGCACGAAAGCGUGGGGAUCAAACAGGAUUAGAUACCCUAGUAGUCC